rnacentral:misc_RNA from 1 species
GAUGAAGAACGUAGCGAAAUGCGAUAAGUAAUGUGAAUUGCAGAAUUCAGUGAAUCAUCGAAUCUUUGAACGCACCUUGCACCCUUUGGCAUUCCGAAGGGUAUGCUCGUUUGAGUGUCAUUGUACUCUCACACUCCCAAUUGCUUUGGAUUGGGAGCGGUGGACUUGGGUGUUGCUGCUUGACUGAGGCUCACCUGAAAUAUGUUAGUGCACCUCUUAAUUGGACAUAGUACGGCGUGAUAAGUGUCUUCGCCGGCUCCUCGCAAAGAGGGUGGCCGAUCGGGAGCUCUGUUGCUUCAAACUGUCUUCGGACAAUCUUCUGGCGACUUGACCUCAAAUCGAGUAGGACUACCCGCUGAACUUAAGCAUAUCAAUAAGCGGAGGA